rnacentral:rRNA from 1 species
GAAACCCGGUGAUCUAGCCAUGGGCAGGUUGAAGGUUGGGUAACACUAACUGGAGGACCGAACCGACUAAUGUUGAAAAAUUAGCGGAUGACCUGUGGCUGGGGGUGAAAGGCCAAUCAAACCGGGAGAUAGCUGGUUCUCCCCGAAAGCUAUUUAGGUAGCGCCUCGUGAAUUCAUCUCCGGGGGUAGAGCACUGUUUCGGCUAGGGGGCCAUCCCGGCUUACCAACCCGAUGCAAACUGCGAAUACCGGAGAAUGUUAUCACGGGAGACACACGGCGGGUGCUAACGUCCGUCGUGAAGAGGGAAACAACCCAGACCGC